rnacentral:ncRNA from 2 species
CUCUUAUCAAGAGCGGCGGAGGGACAGGCCCUUUGAAGCCCGGCAGCCUUCAUGUUUUCAGAAUUAAAGGUGCUAAGUCCUGAAGAUUGCAGACUGAAGAUAAGAG